GUAGGUGGCGAGCGUUAUCCGGAUUUAUUGGGCGUAAAGCGUCCGCAGCCGGUUUAUUAAGUCUAAGAUUAAAGCCCGAAGCUUAACUUCGGUUCGUUUUAGAAACUGGUAGACUCGAGUGUGGUAGAGGCAAGUGGAACUUCUAGUGUAGCGGUAAAAUGCGUAGAUAUUAGAAAGAACACCAGUGGCGAAGGCGACUUGCUGGGCCAUCACUGACGGUCAGGGACGAAAGCGUGGGGAGCAAA
rnacentral:rRNA from 1 species